rnacentral:rRNA from 1 species
CCUACGGGUGGCAGCAGUGAGGAAUAUUGGUCAAUGGACGAGAGUCUGAACCAGCCAAGUCGCGUGAAGGAUGACUGCCCUAUGGGUUGUAAACUUCUUUUAUAUGGGAAUAAAAUGUUCCACGUGUGGGAUUUUGUAUGUACCAUAUGAAUAAGGAUCGGCUAACUCCGUGCCAGCAGCCGCGGUAAUACGGAGGAUCCGAGCGUUAUCCGGAUUUAUUGGGUUUAAAGGGAGCGUAGGUGGUUUGUUAAGUCAGUUGUGAAAGUUUGCGGCUCAACCGUAAAAUUGCAGUUGAAACUGGCAGUCUUGAGUACAGUAGAGGUGAGCGGAAUUCGUGGUGUAGCGGUGAAAUGCUUAGAUAUCACGAAGAACUCCGAUUGCGAAGGCAGUUCACUGGACUGCAACUGACACUGAGGCUCGAAAGUGUGGGUAUCAAACAGGAUUAGAUACCCGAGUAGUC